GCACGCUUAGGCGUGUGACUGCGUACCUUUUGUAUAAUGGGUCAGCGACUUAUAUUCUGUAGCAAGGUUAACCGAAUAGGGGAGCCGAAGGGAAACCGAGUCUUAACUGGGCGUUAAGUUGCAGGGUAUAGACCCGAAACCCGGUGAUCUAGCCAUGGGCAGGUUGAAGGUUGGGUAACACUAACUGGAGGACCGAACCGACUAAUGUUGAAAAAUUAGCGGAUGACUUGUGGCUGGGGGUGAAAGGCCAAUCAAACCGGGAGAUAGCUGGUUCUCCCCGAAAGCUAUUUAGGUAGCGCCUCGUGAAUUCAUCUCCGGGGGUAGAGCACUGUUUCGGCAAGGGGGUCAUCCCGACUUACCAACCCGAUGCAAACUGCGAAUACCGGAGAAUGUUAUCACGGGAGACACACGGCGGGUGCUAACGUCCGUCGUGAAGAGGGAAACAACCCAGACCGCCAGCUAAGGUCCCAAAGUCAUGGUUAAGUGGGAAACGAUGUGGGAAGGCCCAGACAGCCAGGAUGUUGGCUUAGAAGCAGCCAUCAUUUAAAGAAAGCGUAAUAGCUCACUGGUCGAGUCGGCCUGCGCGGAAGAUGUAACGGGGCUAAACCAUG
rnacentral:rRNA from 1 species